rnacentral:lncRNA from 1 species
CCGGUUUGGAACAACAUGAGGACGAGUAAAUGAUGACAGAUUUUUGGGUUGUACAGUAAUGAAAACACAAAAAAACAAAAGUAACAUUUAUUUGUAUUCCUUUAUUGACAUACACAUUCUAUACAGUAAUGCAGCAUUGAAAUUUUAGGAUGUGUUUUGCGAUUCUUCUGUUGUCAGAAAGCAGCCAUUGACAAGGAGCUUGAGAAGCAGAAACCAGCUGAAAAUACAACCAUGGAGGUACCCUUCACUUUGUUCAAGUGGAACUACAUUCAUGCGUAAACAUAUCUGAAUUUUAGCAUUAUUUUUCCUUCAGCUUGCUGGGGAUACAGAGUUGGUUCAAAAAAUAAAAGAACAUAGACAGACUGAAGCAAUGCAGAAAAAGGAGAUCGAAAGGUAUAAUAAAAUGUUAAAAGAGUACAGUACUUGUUCUUUCCACUUCCCUCUGUUGUUCUUAUCAUUUCUUAAUGUUAUCAGGCUCAGUAAGCAGUUGUGCAUGUCCAAUCAGGUGUGGGAAAAGAAGUUUGAGAUUUUAAGACAGAGUUUCCAUGCCAUCAAGGAUGAGAUGUUCUUACGGCAGACAUUGCAGCGGCAGGAAGCCAUUCUGCACAACGCCUCAGUCAGCUUUGCGGUCAGUCGCUGAGAGUGCUACAGUUUUGUCCACUUUGAAUAAAUAUGCCCUACCAUGAUAUUUACACCAAAACAUGUAUUUUUCUUCAUCAAAGCCGAUCUUACCACACUGAAAGAGGGCAGGAGCUUUAAUCAUGUAACCCUUAAUGAAAUCCGCACCUGUGGCCUGUCUCGCACACACACAGAGCACAUAUACUGUAGAGGUUAACCCAGAACAGACUUUAACAGGUGCGCGCACAUUAAGCCCCUCAUCUCUGGCCUCAAUUUGUGAAGGCUGAUGCAUAUGUUUUGUUUUUGUUUUGCGCUGCACCCCACACCCCAUUUACCAGGAGGACAAAUGCAAGUCAGAUCACCUCGUUGAGGCCUGCCUGUGCCGGAUGUCAUUUAUUACACAAAUAAUGCACAUGAAAAUAGCUUAGAACGUCUUAAAAAGGACAUAUACCCAAUGUUUGCCACUUUAU